AGAUGGGUUGGAGUGAUACUGUGGCUGGCUGGAGGAGAAAUUCGACAAUGGCAGCAGCGGCCAAUCAGAGUCGCCGGCUCUCACGAAAAAGCUUGAAGAGUUAAGAACUGUGAAGCCGGGAGUUGCUGGUGAAACCGCAAGGCUGGGAGCUGCAACCGCUUUGUAAUUGGCCAAAACUCCGCUGGGAGUGUACCUCCCUUGGUGAUUGGUGAAGAGAAUGGGGCUUCCGAGGACAGUCUGACCAGUCAGGACGUCUCCUCCCUGGCCAAGGAAUCAGCAUGUCUGAGACAGCUGAGCACAUCUUCCUGUCAGUACCCUUCUACCUUCUCUAAUUAUUUCUUGACAAUUUGAAUACAGUUUUCACAUUUAGUCUUCUUAUCAAAAGUAAUAUAGUUACUCUAAUAUUUAUUUUUAAAUGCUUUGGCCAUCAUUCUAUACAAUUUCAUGAAUCUUGCUAAUUUGUGUUGGAAAAUACAUGAAGACACAAUAUUUAAUAUCCUGAUUUGAUUAUGAAAUGUUUAUGUGUCUACUGCGUGCCCAGGACUGUGCUAUAUAUGCUUAGAGCAAACUGGAGGAACUACUGUAUAUGUUUUAAAACCUAACUAUGGUUUGUUCAAUUGCAUUUUAAAAGUAUUUUCAAGGUCAAAAGGGUAUGGGCUCUUUCAGAAUUAAAAACAAAUCUCCUACAGAACCAAAUCAGCUGGAACUCUGUGUAAGUAAAGUAUUCUAUGGAGGUUAAGCUUUUAAUCUAGCACGUAAGGAGUUAAAGUUCCAAAGUACUUCUAAGUACCAAAGAAAUCAUUGAGUGAAAAAUUUAUCAACAGGAGUUGCCAAAAGACACCCUUUCUUCCUGCUUAAAUGGAAUUACAUGGAGAUAUAAAGCAUUUCUCUUGAUCUCAGUUGAUGGUGUGCACAUAACAGGAACUCAGUAAAUUCUGGCAAGAUGAGCAAUAUGAUUACAAUAGAAAAGGUGAAAAUUAAAAUUACUUAUAAAAUAUUUGCAUAUGGAGGAGGACUCCAAGGAGAUGCCCAAGAAUAAAAACAUUUGAUUUAUUCAUUUGUUGGUUUUCUGAAAGUUUUUUCUUCCAUUAAAAUCUUUCCAUUAUUGCUGCUACAAUAUAAUUUGAUUAUCAAAUUUUAAAAAUUGGAUGCAUUCAAAUAUAACAGAAUCACAGCUUAGGACAAAUCUCUGUCCACCACUGGGGUUCAAACAUAUCUUGGCAUACCUGGCAAAUUGGUGGAUUUAGGCAGCCAAUAGGGUGAUUUACGUAGGGGUUUGGGGAGAAAGACUGCCAAGUCUGGGUGCCAUCAAGGAGGGGUUUUGACCAGGCUACUUUUCAAUCAAUUUGUACUGCCACAAGGUACUAGGUAGUAUUCCAAUUGGUCAGUCCCCAUAUUAUGCCAGCUAGAACUAUUUUGAGUGCUACUCUUGGAUUGAGGGGACAAUGCUUACCUAUCUUGAAGAUUCACACUCUUAUGCUGACUCACAGACUCCUCUUGGAAAGCACCAUACCAGAAAUAGAAGUGCACUAAAAUCUACCUUACAUCAAAAAAUAUUAUCCAAAGGUGAGUGAUUGGAGCUUAUUUACACUUCUGCAGGAAAUGUGAUAUAAUUUUGCAGUAAUGAAGACCCCAGAAAACACAGAAGCAUUCUGAUUCCUUGAGGACCAUAUUGGAGAUCAUGCAAAUACCCAGUAGAAGGUGGUGGUGACCUGGCUCACCAGGACUGGCUCAGCAGUGAGUGCCAGAAGGGUUCAAAGGCAACAGAAAACUCAGCAGCACAUAUCCAUGUGGCCACAGACAAAGCUUGUUCUUGAGUUCAUGUAAAAUACUGUCAAAGGGCUCUUAGAAAUUAUGGGCAGGGAACUUUGUAAGGAGCUGGUCUUGCAUCAGAAGGGAAAGGCAGGAACCAGUGAAAUAUGGAUCAUAAAACUAUUAGUACUAAGUUCAUAAUUAUGGUUUUUAGUCCAUAAAUAAUAUGAGGUGUGAGAAGUGAACAGUCUCACGCAGUAUUCCCCAUUCCCACAUGCUUAUUUGUGUGAGUAUUUCAUGGAACUAAGGGUGCUGAUAGUUUUCAAAAUACAGGGCAUGUUUUUCUUACAACAUCAUCCAUAUACAAGUUAAAUACAAUUCUUCAUUUGGUGUUCAACCAAAGAAAGAGUGAUAUAUUCCAAUAUUAGGAAAAAGCUAGUUGAACUGAAAUUAUUGUUAUUUAAGGACUUUUAAAGAGUAAUUUUGGAUGUAUACAUACAAAAAUGCUGUUUUUAGAACGUAAAUCUUGCCAAAGAGGCAACUACAGGGGUUUAACUUUCGUAUAGUGCUUAAUAGUCUAUAAUGAACAUUAUAAUAUUGGACAUGUACCAAAACCUUUAAGGAAGAUAAAACAGGUACUAUUAUUCCCAUUUUACACAUUAAGAAUGGAGGCAAAGAGGAGUUCCCAUUGCGGUGCAGUGGAAAUGGAUCUGAUUAGUAUACAUGAAGAUGUGGGUUCGAUCCCUGGCCUCGCUCAUUGCGUCGGGGAUCGAGUGUUGCUGUGAGCUGUGGUGUAGGUCACAGACAUGGCUCGGAUCCCGCCUUGCUGUGGCUGUGGUAUAGGCCAGCAGCUGUAGCUUCAAUUCAACCCCUAGCCUGGGAACUUCCAAAUGCUGGGGGUGCAGCCCUAAAAAA
rnacentral:lncRNA from 1 species